UAUUUAUUUUUAAGACGGAGACAGCAUGAGCAGGGGAGGGGCAGAGAGAGAGGGAGACACAGAAUCCAAAGUAGGCUCCAGGCUCUGAGCUGUCAGCACAGAGCCUGACACGGGGCUCGAACUCACAGAUUGUGAUAUCAUGACCUGAGCUGAAGUCAGAUGCUUAACCGACUGAGCCACCCCGGUGCCCCCUGUCUUUUUGAUAAUAGCCAUUCUCACUGUGGUUUUGAUUUGCAUUUCCCUGAUGAUCAGGGAUACUGAGCAUCGAUGCAUCUAGCUAGCUGUUGGCUAUCUGUAUGUCUUUGGAAAAAUGUCUGUUCAAAUCCUUUGCCCAUUUUUCAAUCGGGUUUGGUUUUUUGUUCUGGUAUAGGAAUUUUUACAUAUUUUGGAUUGACCCCUUAUCAGAUAUGAUUUGCAAAUACUUUCUUCCACUCAUUAGGUUGCCUUUUCAUUUUGUUGGUUUCCUUUGUGCACAAACUUUUUAUUUUAAUGUAGUCCCACUUUUCAUUUUUGCGUUUGGUGUCACAUUCAGAAAAUCACCAAGACUGAUGUCAAGGAGUUUAUUGCCUACUGGUUUCAUGUCUUCUAUUCAACUCUUUAAUCCAUUUUGAGCUAACUUUUGUGUAUGGUGUAAGAUAAGUGACCUAAUUUUCCCAACAGCAAUUAUUGAAUACACUGUCUUUUCUUGAUUAUAUAUUCUUGUCUCCUUUGUCAUAAAUUAACUGACCAUACAUUCAUUGGUUUAUUUCUAGGCUAUUCUGUGCCAUUAAUCUAGGUCUGUAUUUAUGCCAAUACUCGAUUACUAUAGCUUUGUAAUAAUAUAGUUUGAAAUUAAGGAGCAUGAGGCCUCCAGCUUUGUUCUUUCUCAAGAUUGUGUUGGCUGUUUGGAGCCUUUCGGGGUCCCAUACAAAUUUUAGGGGUGUUUUUUAAAAAUGCCAUUGGAAUUUUGAGAGAUGGCAUUGAAUCUGUAGGUUGCUUUGGGUAGUGUGAACAUUUUAACAAUAUUCGCCCAAUCCCUAAGCAUGGAGUAGCUUUCCAUUGAUUUGUCUGCAGUUUCAUUUAUGUCAGUUUUCAGUGUACAGGUCUUUCAUGUUUUUGUUUAAAAAUCCCUGGGUAUUUUGUUUUUGAUGCCGUUUUAUAAAUGGGAUUAUUUUAAUUUCUCUUUCUGGUAGUUAUUAGUGUACAGAAACGCAAGAUUCCUGUGUAUUGAUUUUGUGUUCUGCAACUUUACUGAAUUUAUUAGUUACAACAGUUUUUUGGUCUUUGGGGUUUUCUAUAUGUCAUUUUAUCUGCAAAAACUGACAAUUUGGGUGCCUUUUGCUUGCCUAAUUGCUCUGGCUAGGACUUCCAAUACUAUGUUAACAUUUAAAAUUUGACAUAAAAAGCAAAGUGGUCCAAAGAAAGAAGUUUGAAACUGAAUGUUGAACACUCUACUGAGUCCAUGGACCGAACUCCCUCCUUUUUAUGAAACCCCAUGUGGGGGAUGCAGGUUAUCAGGAACAAUUCUAAGUUACUACAGCUUUGUCACAAACCACCCUAAAAACUUAAGAGGUUCAAACAGUAAUCCUUUCUCUCUCGGAUUCUGUGGACUAGGAAUUUAGGAAAGGCUCUACUUGGCAGUUCCGACUCCAGGUAUCGGAUGUAUUUGCAUUUACAGCGGCUAGAGCUGGGCUAGCGGGAAGUUAGAACACGAGGGACUGGCCAGACGUCUCUGCUUGUAGUUUCAGGAUCUCUCUGUGUGGGCUGGUCUGGGCUUCCUCACAGAAUUGGCUUCAGGGUGACUCAAGGACUUACCAGCCUGUGUAGCUUUGCGUGUUUCAACAGACCAGCUGUAAGCUGUGUUGCCUUUGAUCUAGCUUUGGAAGUCACAGAGCAGUCCUUUUGUCGUGUCAACCAGUCACCUCUUGAUCUGGGGAAUGUCAGACUUUAUGGAUCUUUUACAACCACCACAUCUCCCCUCAGGAAGCCCAUCUGGUGUGAGAGAGGCAAGACCAGCCUAGAUACUGCCACCAGAAUACCGAAAGGUAAGCUGCCCCACGUAGAAGGCCAUGGGAGCUCACCGAGGGGAGUAAGGGAAAGCAUUUUGGAGGCGACCUUUGAGCUGGUUCUUAAGAUGGAUUUUGACAUUUUGAAUGGCAUUAGCAAGGUCCAGAAGUAAUAAAUGGUUGAACAGCGAGUGAUUACUUGACUGCAAUCAAAAGUGGCUGAAGGAGGAGUGAGCAGAGGCCAGAAAUGUGAGCCAGAUCAAGGAAUGCCCAACCUAAGCACUUCGAGAGAGGUGGGGACAUGGGCAGAAAAGUAAUGAAGGUUCCUCUCCCCUCCAGAUACAAUUACCAUGGGAGAGAUGGUGAACUUUCCUUCUUGGCAAUAUCUACUACCCCUCCUGGGUGGUAUUACAGGAGUUUACAGCAGUCUCCAACUUGGAAAUAGUAUCAGGAUGCUGCUCCAAGGAUCUUUCACGUCAAGGUCAGCCCACCCCCCAGUUGGGAACUGGUGGGAGCUACAGCCUGAAAGGACAGCGGAAGGAGGAGGGAAGACACACUAUAUUCAUCUACUCCGACAAGCAUCACGGGCAAAGCAAAAGCAAUGGAGAUGACUGGUCUGUGGGGACGGGGGGUGGCACUCUCACAGGGAUGGCCGUGGCAGACACUGCUGAAGCCCAGAGCCACUACAACACUGCGACUUCAUGGCACACACAGUUAGGGGCAGUGAGAAAGGUUUACUUAACUGUUCUAGGCUGUAGCAAGGAUGGUUUAUGUUUGUGCUUAAAGGUGAAGAGAAGAAAAGAAACAAGGAGAGAAACUUUAGGUCAGAUAUAGAAAAUGAGAAUGAGCUCAAUGCAGAUGGUCAGUAAGCUAGACAUGCCCUUGCCACUCUAGCUACACUUGGGAACGUGCAGCUGGCUUUGCUGGGCCACCCUGCUGCCCAGCAAACCCAGACUCGACCUUUCCAGUCUCCAUUUCUACUCCAGAGAGAAUGUGCAAAAAAUCAAUCCAACACCACCUGUAAGUCCAGCAUUUCACAAAUCUCAUUGCAAAUGCAUCUGGGGACCCAGGGAACCCCGCUCUGUAUUCUAAAGGGAUGAACGUGUAAAGGUCACAGGCCCUAAGAGGCUCUACAGCCAUGAGCCUAUUGUCCACCCUUCUACCCUCAUCUCCCUUGUAUCAAAAGCUAGUCCUAAUUCUUAAGGAAACAGCAAUACUGCUCUGAAAACAAGAAUCCUUAAGUACUUUUCCAGAGAAGAUGUAGUUUUCUUUGGAAGAAGAAACCACAGUGGCCCACACCAGACAGCUUUGGCCAUCUGGACCUUAAAAAGCUUGGGGCCUCUUUGUGCCACACUAGGGGGAUGGGGCAUCAGAAGGUGGCCACUAAACAAUUUCCAACAUAUAAAACCAUAGAGAAAUAAUUACAGAGCUCCCCCCUUACCCAAUGAGGCAACCUCCUCUGCUCUGGACUCUGCUGCCCCAAGGGAGAAGCAAACCAACCCCACAUGUCGUUCUAUAGAAUUAAAUGUAGGAAAUCCUGCCUCCCUCCCCCUCCCCGCCCCCAAUAGCUCCCAACCACAGAGCUUCCACGUGUUCCAGGUGGGGACACGUCCCAUCCCCACCUAGGGCAGGUAGGUAGCAAGAAGUUAGAGCCCACCCCCGUCCCACAGCCUUCCCAGACAAGGUCACAAAUGACCCACGUUUUAAAAGGGAAUCUGCUUCCUUCUCUCCAAAACCCUGGAUGUGCAAAAGGGCUAUCGGAGUUAAAGGGAGUCACGAUUCUGCAAGACAAAUCGAUGGGUCAUACCCCCAACCUUAUAACUCUUAGGCAAUCCCCAGAGUGCCAAUCUGAAAUAAUUCAGAAAGCAAAGCAACUUGUGACAUAACAGGAACAUUAACU